rnacentral:lncRNA from 1 species
AAGUAAUACCUAUCUUAGUAAUACAUAUUAAAACCAUCAAAAAUAAUUAAGCGGCCUUAUUACAUUUAAAAACCCAAAACUUCAAACGUAAAUAAAAGGAUGUCCAGUUCACCAGAAGAAAAUCAAACUUACAGAACGGGUGGCCACUCCGAAUUCCCUCACAGCUCCAAGCCCACUAUGGUUGGGGAUUUCCUGCGUGGAUGAAAAUAAAAGGGGUGAGUUUG